AACCUGAUUAACAAAAAAAAUUGGAAAUGUGUCCUUAAAAAGAGAAACUUUAAAAUCUACAAAACCCUAAAACUCAGAUCUUUAUUGAGCAACCAAAAACAAAACUAAAAUGUUAGAGACAGUCCACAAGAUUCGGUCUUUCUCAAACGGAUU
rnacentral:sRNA from 1 species